rnacentral:lncRNA from 1 species
AUACUCUUUACUUAAUGACUGCUGUUGUUAAGUGAUGUGCUAUUCUGCUAAAAAGUAAUAUAAUUGAUGACAUACCAGUAGUGGAAGAUAUGUUGUUUAAUAUGGAUGAGCUGGAAAGAGAAAGAAUGAGAUCGCCAUAUAUAAACCAAAGAAUGAUCAGCAAACAUAACAAAAGGGAGAAAUUUAAUGCAAGUGAUACACACCACCUUAGAAAAACCAUAGCUUGGCUCAACAAUAGCAAUCUAAUGAUAAUGAGAGAGGACAAGACAAGGAAGAUGAUCCUAAUAGAUAAAAAAUUUUUAUGAUUCUUUCC